rnacentral:lncRNA from 1 species
UCCUUUUGGAUGGCAGCGGGAGAGAGGUAGACACAUGUUGGCUGGAGGCUGUUAGUUCCGGUGGUGGAUCCACUAUGAUUUGGAUGAUAUGGGAAAUUUCUAACGUAGAAUAGUUGAUAAAUUUAGGAUGCUAGGUUCCA